AUGCCAGCUACCUUCACUCAGGAAAGAAACAGUCAGCUUCUGAGCCUCUGCCUCCCCAGACCCAGGCAUUUCAAGUGGGGCAGGCCUCGUGAGAAACAGACGGACGGAAGCUUUCCGUGCGGAAAGCGAGCAGGGUUGGGGUCAACCGGGCAGCCUGUCCCGGGCCUUUGGGCACGAGGCCCCACCUGGAGUCUGGGCCCAGAAGUCCCAUGGGCUGGGGAAGCCCGGUGCUGCCAGCCCCCGUGGUCCCCGGCGGAGGGUCUCGCCCCUCCUGCUCUCGUCUUCCCUGUGGGAGCCAGCUCUAGGGUUUCUCCGCCUCACCCACCAAGUGCAGGGAUCCUGGGGCCUGUUCCCAAAGGGCGUGCUGGGGCCCGCCCAGGUCUGGGCUCCCGGAGAACUGAUGCUCCAGAAAGUAUUGCCUUUUAUCCUGAUGUUGCUUCAAGAGACUGCGAGGCUGUUGUCAAAUACGAACUUCCUAACUUAAUUCUCCUCUGCCAUGCCCACCAGGUGUCACAGUCCAGGGGCCCACACGGCCUGUGUGUUUCUGGAAGAAAGCGGCCCUCCUCUGGAUGGCGUGUGGGUCACCAGCUGACGCUGCCUGGGUCCCACGGGGAGCUCAGGAUGCUCUGCUCGCUCAGUCAGGACUCCAGGAGUUGCAGAGGCUCAAAGAAGAGACCAAAGCCUCUGCUCCCAUCAGAGGCAGACCCUGGAGUUGCCAGAUUUACAACAAAUUUUUUCAGUAGAAACCUCAGGCUUGUCAGAGGAUAACCCAGAAAACCAGCAUUAACUCCAAAAUCUAAGGGCAGGAAGAGUGGAAGAAGCAACCAAGGACCCCAGGUCUGCAGGGAAACAGAACAGGGGAACGUCAGUGAUGCUGAACUCCCUGCAGUGAGACGGAUUCCACACGGCUGGGCACCCGUCACUUUCAGCAUCAAAACUGUGAUGCAUUUCGGUAGGAAUCUUUCUUUUCAAAGGGAAUACCCACUUCUCCCGCCUCUUAAGGGAAGAAGACUAACCAGGAUCCUUCCCUCCAAGGACUCAAGGUUGCCAGCAUGAAGACAGGCCCUUCCUUGGACUGAGACCCAGCAAGUUCUCAGGGUUCGGUAGAUGGGGAUUUGCCCAAGACCUCAGGACAUGCUGGGCACUGGGAGGCCUGGCUGGGAGCUUCCUGAAUCCUUCUCUGUGAAUCAGUAUCCCAAACUAGAAAUGUGUGUUGAAGAUGGGUAAUGAAUAUGUGGGGGGUUUGUGAUAUUCUCUACUUUUAUACAUUUGGAGUUUUUCAUAAUAAAAAAUGUAAUUGUUUUCCUAUUUUGUAUGCU
rnacentral:lncRNA from 1 species